AUGGAAACACCGGCUCCCGUACGAUCACCGAAGUUAAACAACGUCGAGCCUUGUCAGUACCUAGAUUGGUGACUGCUUGGGAAUACCAGGUGAGUGC